AUGUGAAGAGUGGCGAACGGGUGAGUAAUACAUAAGUAACCUGGCCUUUACAGGGGGAUAACUAUUGGAAACGAUAGCUAAGACCGCAUAGGUGUGAUAACCGCAUGGAGAUGACAUGAAAUAUGCUACGGCAUAGGUAGAGGAUGGACUUAUGGCGCAUUAGCUAGUUGGAGGGGUAACGGCCCACCAAGGCGACGAUGCGUAGCCGACCUGAGAGGGUGACCGGCCACACUGGGACUGAGACACGGCCCAGACUCCUACGGGAGGCAGCAGUAGGGAAUUUUCGGCAAUGGGGGAAACCCUGACCGAGCAACGCCGCGUGAAGGAAGAAGUAAUUCGUUAUGUAAACUUCUGUCAUAGAGGAAGAACGGUGCGUGUAGGGAAUGACAUGCAAGUGACGGUACUCUAUAAGAAAGCCACGGCUAACUACGUGCCAGCAGCCGCGGUAAUAUGUAGGUGGCGAGCGUUAUCCGGAAUUAUUGGGCGUAAAGAGGGAGCAGGCGGCACUAAGGGUCUGUGGUGAAAGAUCGAAGCUUAACUUCGGUAAGCCAUGGAAACCGUAGAGCUAGAGUGUGUGAGAGGAUCGUGGAAUUCCAUGUGUAGCGGUGAAAUGCGUAGAUAUAUGGAGGAACACCAGUGGCGAAGGCGACGAUCUGGCGCAUAACUGACGCUCAGUCCCGAAAGCGUGGGGAGCAAAUAGGAUUAGAUACCCUAGUAGUCCACGCCGUAAACGAUGAGUACUAAGUGUUGGGAGUCAAAUCUCAGUGCUGCAGUUAACGCAAUAAGUACUCCGCCUGAGUAGUACGUUCGCAGAAUGAAACUCAAAGGAAUUGACGGGGGCCCGCACAAGCGGUAGAGCAUGUAGUUUAAUUCGAAGCAACGCGAAGAACCUUACCAGGUCUUGACAUCGAUCUAAAGGCUCCAGAGAUGGAGAGAUAGCUAUAGAGAAGACAGGUGGUGCAUGGUUGUCGUCAGCUCGUGUCGUGAGAUGUUGGGUUAAGUCCCGCAACGAGCGCAACCCCUGUUGCCAGUUGCCAGCAUUAAGUUGGGGACUCUGGCGAGACUGCCGGUGACAAGCCGGAGGAAGGCGGGGAUGACGUCAAAUCAUCAUGCCCCUUAUGACCUGGGCUACACACGUGCUACAAUGGACAGAGCAGAGGGAAGCGAAGCCGCGAGGUGGAGCGAAACCCAGAAAACUGUUCUCAGUUCGGACUGCAGUCUGCAACUCGACUGCACGAAGUUGGAAUCGCUAGUAAUCGCGAAUCAGCAUGUCGCGGUGAAUACGUUCUCGGGCCUUGUACACACCGCCCGUCACACCAUGAGAGUCGGUAACACCCGAAGCCGGUGGCCUAACCGCAAGGAAGGAGCUGUCUAAGGUGGGACUGAUGAUUGGGGUGAAGUCGAAACAAGGUA
rnacentral:rRNA from 1 species